rnacentral:hammerhead_ribozyme from 1 species
AUCCAGCUGACGAGUCCCAAAUAGGAUGAAACGCCCGUCAAACUGGAU